GUUGUACCGGUACACUUUACUUCAGACUUGAUUUUUAGCUCCGUCUCGAUUCUAUUUCUCGCCGAUCGAUGCCAAAACCCUUCUAACACUUCUAGAACUCAUUUUUAACCCUCCCAACACUGUUGGUAGGUUAAUUGGAACUCGCCCAAUUAAUUCAUUCGCGCACUUUAAUCAAUUUGCCUAAAGUUCGCCAUUUUCUAUCUAGGUUUCGAUACGUUACAACAGCGGAGCCUGUCCAACUCCAGCUGCAGCCUGCUGCUGCACCACCUGCUGGACUAAUCCUGCCAAUGCAGCCAACUGCUCCUCCAAC
rnacentral:lncRNA from 1 species